GGUGGGGUUCCCGAGCGGCCAAAGGGAGCAGACUGUAAAUCUGCCGUCAUCGACUUCGAAGGUUCGAAUCCUUCCCCCACCC
rnacentral:tRNA from 1 species